UUACCUACACUGUUUGAGCGACACGUUACCUCCGUGGGCAGUACAUCCUACAGCAACCUUCCUUUGUUUUCUCUUUAAUAUUUGUUUGACUGCGCGUCGCAUGCAUGUCUUGGUCCAGUUCACGUGAGCUUUUCUGAUGGCCUUCUAGAUUUCCUGCGAUUGCUGCAUGGGCCAUGCAUGCCGCCACGUCUGCCUCACACGUUGUUGACUGGCAGUUUACUGGUGGACACGUUGCCUUCUAGGCUUUUACCUUCUCUGUUGGGGCGACGCGUGUGCGUGAAAGUUUUCUGGGAUGUGUUCGAUUCCAUUCUUCCUUUGCUUGGACUGGUCAAGCACAUUUUGUUUAUCGCUACUUCCUCCGUUCGGAUUUACUCGGACGUUCUAGAUACAUCCAUUUCUGCGACAAGUAAUUCCGAACGGAGGAAGUACAUAGGUGUGGUGGGCUCUCCUGAAAGGUUCUUCCUUAAAAAUGCCAAAAUAUUAGGUUGACCGUGCGUGGCUCUUCUAGAGAUGUAUGGGCUGGUUUUGUUUUUAGUACCGCUGCAUGGCUCAUGCAUGCAUGUGGCCACAUUGGCCUGUUGUAUAGUUGUCUCUCUGUGUUAUGGAUGGACACGUUGUGUUCUUGGUCUUUCUGGUGGGUUCUUUUUUCAUCUCCUUUUGCUUGUCUAUAAGUAGCUCCUUGAUAUGUUGGUCCUUCAUUCAGUUUCCACGUCCUUCCCUAGAUUGGUCUUCUCAAUUCAGUUUCCGCCUCACUGCCGCAUCCAUUCUCUCCAGGCUCUAGCACCAUCUUGCCUCCGGCAGUUGGAGACAAAGCAUCUGGUCAUGGAAAGCCGCAUCAGGUUGUUCGGUGCGGUGGUCAUGGCGCACCAUGCUGGGUCUACUUCACCAUCGUCGUGCUCCGCCGCCGCCUACAGCCGACGCACCCGGUGAGGUCCGCGCAUGGAGCACAGUAGCAAGCACAAGUUUGAGGCGAGGUAUAUCGCAUCGGUCUCCUGCUGCUCACAGGCGAGGCCUCGGACGAGCGGCCAAAUCCACGUGAGGUGGAUGUUGCAGGCACGGCCAUCUCCCCUUCCUUCAUUCUUUUUCCCUCCAACUACCAUGUUAUCUUUACCAUGUCUUCUUUCCUUGUAAUAUUGUUUUUUCACCCAUGGAGAUAGAGAUGUUACCUCAGUUCGGCAACGAAGCCAGUGAUUCGUAUCCAAUAAUUUUCGUUAAUACGGUAACAACUUAUUUCAGUCCACCUGACGGAACGAGUUUGCAUCUGAUGAUGUCAGAACUUACGGAAAGUUUCUAAAAGAAAUUAUGACAUGGUAUUUUUCUUCACUCUUGAUUUGUUCCAUUCGUAUUAUCUGCUCUGCCCUAGGUUCGUCCCCAAUUAUAAAAUUUGGAGCCUCCCGCUGAAGGUCAAGGAGGUGGAAGCAUGAACAAUGCCCUCAUCAAAUCAACUUAAUUGGAUUCGAAUCGAAGGAUGACUUUCGAGAAAAGGUAGUACGCAACUUCAUUUAUAUUAUGCACUUGGCAGGGAUAUUCUCAAGGAAUUGCAAGAUGAUGGGCUAUACACUUCACAUAGCCUGAGACCAUGGUGAGUACAUGGUCUUUUGACUUACUUUCUUUGUAGUUGUUUUACAAAUUGAGGAGGGGUAGCAGAUGGAUGGCAUUGCCAUGCAGAACUACGGACUCUUCACUGGAAUAAAAAUAGUUAUGUGGUGUUUGGUCGGACGUGCGCAUUUGCAGCACCAUGGGGUACUCUUUGGCUGAAGUACAUAUUUUGUAUCUUCUUUGGACCUAAAUCAGACUGUUCAAGUGGUGUUUGCUCAGAACAUGCAGGUGGAGCACCAUGGGAUGCUCUUUGGCUGA